rnacentral:sRNA from 1 species
ACCCUCCCGGCGCAGAGAACGCCGGCUCCUCAGCGCGUUCUGCGGUCAUGGAGAUCCCCGGGAGCCUGUGCAAGAAAGUCAAGCUGAGCAAUAACGCGCAGAACUGGGAACAUUGACGAAACUUGUUUGACUGCUCUGGAGAGUUUUUGUUGGGAAGUGGAGGGAAUGCAGAGAGCAACCAAUGUCACCUACCAAGCCCAUCAUGUCAGCAGGAACAAGAGAGGUCAGGUGGUGGGGACCAGAGGUGGCUUUCGUGGUUGCACAGUUUGGCUAACAGGCUUGUCUGGGGCAGGAAAGACUACUGUGAGCAUGGCCUUGGAGGAGUACCUGGUUUGUCAUGGUAUUCCAUGCUACACUCUGGAUGGUGACAAUAUUCGUCAAGGUCUCAAUAAAAAUCUUGGCUUUAGUCCUGAAGACAGAGAAGAAAAUGUUCGACGCAUCGCAGAAGUUGCUAAACUGUUUGCAGAUGCUGGCUUAGUGUGCAUCACAAGUUUCAUAUCACCUUAUACUCAGGAUCGCAACAAUGCAAGGCAAAUUCAUGAGGGUGCAAGUUUACCGUUUUUUGAAGUAUUUGUUGAU